rnacentral:rRNA from 1 species
AACGAACGCUGGCGGCAUGCCUAACAUAUGCAAGUCGAACGAGACCUUCGGGUCUAGUGGCGCACGGGUGCGUAACGCGUGGGAACCUGCCCUUAGGUUCGGAAUAACUCCCCGAAAGGGGUGCUAAUACCGGAUAAUGUCUUCGGACCAAAGAUUUAUCGCCUUUGGAUGGGCCCGCGUUGGAUUAGCUAGUUGGUAGGGUAAAAGCCUACCAAGGCGACGAUCCAUAGCUGGUCUGAGAGGAUGAUCAGCCACACUGGGACUGAGACACGGCCCAGACUCCUACGGGAGGCAGCAGAGGGGAAGGCUGCGGAAGGGGUGAAAGUAUGACGGACCCAUGCCGCGUGAAUGUGGAAGGUCGUAGGAUGGGAAAAUUCUUUCAACGGGGACGAGAAUGACGGUAGCAGGAGAAGAAGAGCCGUCUAACUGGGUG